GACGAACGCUGGCGGCGUGCUUAACACAUGCAAGUCGAACGGAAAGGCCCUGCUUUUGUGGGGUGCUCGAGUGGCGAACGGGUGAGUAACACGUGAGUAACCUGCCCUUGACUUUGGGAUAACUUCAGGAAACUGGGGCUAAUACCGGAUAGGAGCUCCUGCUGCAUGGUGGGGGUUGGAAAGUUUCGGCGGUUGGGGAUGGACUCGCGGCUUAUCAGCUUGUUGGUGGGGUAGUGGCUUACCAAGGCUUUGACGGGUAGCCGGCCUGAGAGGGUGACCGGGAAGAUGGGGAAUAAGCGAAGACACAGACGAGGACCGGAGGCAGCAGUGCGGGGUGUUGCAUAAGGGGAGGAAGGUGGAGGCAGGAAAGCCGCGUGGCGGAAGCAGGGGUGAGGGUAGUAGAAAACAUGCCACAGGGAAGAAACGGGAAUGAAGGUAAGGGGAAAAGAAGAACCGGCUAACUACGUG
rnacentral:rRNA from 1 species